rnacentral:sRNA from 1 species
UCACGAUUACGUCAGCCACCUGAAAACC